GAGGAAGUGUGGCUGAAGGACUGAGUAAUGAUGAUUUCCUCAAGCCAUUGCUACUGAUCCAUGAAAGGACCUUCCCUCUUAUGCUGUGACUCCCGACUAUGUUUAAGAGCCUUUGGUGUGGGACACUGUCAAAGGUUUUCUAAAAGUCCAUGUGCACUAUAUCCACAUGCUUGUUGACACACUCGAAGAUUUCUAAUAGAGUGAAUACCAGGGCCAGCUCUACCCUUUUUGCCGCCCCAAGCAGGACGUCUGAAGACAGAAGCUGCCUCUGAUUUGCCACGGCAGCGCAGCCUGCAGAGUAAAGCUGCCACCGAAUUGCCACUGCCGUGGAAAGACGAGUGCCGCCCUGACGGCACACGGGCUGCUGCCCCUUUCUCAGGGCCGCCCCAAGCAUGUGCUUGGAACGCUGGUGGCUGGAGCCGGCCCUGUAGAAUACCGUGUAUCCCCUUUAAUAAAUACUCCCCUAAUUGAGGUCUCUGUCCAAACCAUGUGCUCCUCCACCCAUGUCAGCUUC